CAACUUUCAGCAGCGGAUCUCUUGGCUCUCGCAUCGAUGAAGAACGCAGCGAAAUGCGAUAAGUAAUGUGAAUUGCAGAAUUCAGUGAAUCAUCGAAUCUUUGAACGCACCUUGCGCUCCUUGGUAUUCCGAGGAGCAUGCCUGUUUGAGUGUCAUUU
rnacentral:rRNA from 1 species